ACAAAAGGUUGGGCUAUAACUUCGUUUGAAACAAAAACGCCACUAAUAUGUACUAAAAUUUUCAAAGAACCUUUUUUUUUUUUACCCAAAUCAAUUCCCCCGCCCCCUCCCCCUUCCCCAAAUCAUUUUUCCCCAAAUCAGUUCCCCUCCCCAGAUCUGUUGGUCAUAUGAUUCAAGCAAAAUCCGAUCCCCAUAAAAUGAAUACUUGCAGAGACUGAUGGCACUUCCCAACCAGGUUUAUUAUUGAUAGACAUAAGGUGGGUAAUCGGAUUAUCAGAAGAGGAUUCAUGUCAGAAUGGAGCAUGUUCUUCAAAUUGAUAGCUUUUGGUUUGGUAUCACUAUGCUUUCCAUGCAUAUCCAAAUAUGUGGCAUUAGUGACAAUAAGAUAUAUCAUUAUCACUUAAAUCUUAGAGGAAGUGUUUCUACCAGAAGGCGGACUAGGCUACCUUCAAUUCCUAAGAAUGAUGCAAAGUUCAGGAUUUACAUUCAAUGAGCAAGAAACAUUGCGGCAACUCAUUGGGAUCGAGCAGUCAAAAUUCAGAAUCAAACGACACAUGAGCUAUAUUUGGAGCUUAGACUGUCACUGUAAUCAGUAAUUUUUUUCUGCCACUUUAAAUGCAUGCUCAUGGAACUGCAUUUUAUGCUUUCCUAGAAUUGUAAGUUCAAAUAAGGUGUUGAUCUUGCAAUUCAUACAUACAACUUGAGCAAGUUGAUAUAAACUAAUUUGAAUUUUUUUAAAAAAAAAUUCAAAGGAAUCUUAUGUAAUCAAAGGCAAUUUGACUUGCUGCAUGAGAUAUAGUGAAAAACAUUUUUCUUUUCGUUCA